CUGCUUGUCCCACGCCCAUGGAGGGGGGACACCGUCCGGAAGUGAAGGCCAGGAAAACAGAGGGGAGAGACAGCGGGGUGGGGUGGGAGCAGUCGCUGCUGUGAACUCGCUGGAGCCCAGACUCACGCAACUAAGGGGCAGCAGUGGGAAGAGAAACGGAGGGGUGGUGGGGGAGCUGGCGCUCUGAACGCCUGUUCCUUCUGUUCAGACUAGUCUUUGUUUAUUUUGCAGCGCAGGAAGGCGGAAGGGAAGGCGGAGACCGGCAAGAGAGGGGAGAAGGCCCGGGGAAGACGCUCGGGACCAAGAUGCGGGGCCCGGGUGCGAGCAGCUGAACCUCUCGGCCCCCAGGCGUGGUGACCUGGGUGGCGACGCUCGUGGAGGCCGAGGAGCUUCUGGACCGGCGCUUCGGGGGACCAAGUGGAGAGGCUGCUGGAGUUGUCGCCUGAGUCCUCCCUUAGUUCUUCGCGCCGGCCUCGCCCACGGCUCCGGGUCCCAGCCGCCACUGCAGUCUCCGCAGCACCGAGCGGGGCUCCACCGACUCGCGACCUCCAGCCUCCGCCUCAAGGGCAGGGAGCGCGGCUGGGUCUCUGGAAAGCCAUUUUUAAAUCACUGCCUCUGCUGCCCCCAUGUGAGGUCGGAGUGUCCUCCCCCGUCUUUGCUUUCAGGUUCUUUCAGGUUCCUUUGGGCAAACCCGCAGCUAAGAGUCCAGCUUGUGAACUUGAACCUGAACUUGCUGAAGAAGCUCCCGGCGGCCCCCUGCUGUCUGCGGCCUUUGUUUGAGGGAGAGGCUGGGGUCACCCGGUUGGGCCGCAUUUCCGGGGCCGUCACCUGUCGGGCUGCCAGGCCGCGCGUACCUUGUCCCAUCGGGGGCUCUGCUCUGCCCCCUGCGCUGAUGACGCGGGUGGAAGGGAGGUAUCAGGGGCACUCUGGGGAGCUGUACCUGGCGGGCACCCCCCAGCUGCUCUCCGUGGGGUACGACACCGAGACCUGGUUGGGCUGCAAGGAGACCGACUGGGAUUCCCGGGCUGGUGGCCGGGGAGACGAAGGCGGGGGGUGAGAGGCAGGAACCCAGGAGGCCCCAGGCCCAGCGCUGUGGGGCUGCUGUUGUCGUUCUGCGUGGAGGUCUGGCCAAACUGGCUUUUGCCCCGAGUGAGGAAUUCCUGCUCUUUUUUGGUUUUGGUAAGAGGUCGCUAUUCACAGAGGGGGCGGGGUUCGUCCCCUCCAGGCGAGUACGGGGCUGGCGGGCGCAGUGCUGCCUUUCUGCUCUGUCUCUUGAUCCCGCUUAGGAUCUUUGUGGCUCCUCUGAGUCUUCUUAGAGAGGCCGUGAAAGAUGGGAAAGGCAGGUUGCUGAAACGCUGCUGCUCGGGGCUGGCAGAGACCCUGGUAUAGGGAAGGCGCACCACUGUGGGUCAGAUCAGCUGACAGUGGGGGUUUUAGGUGAUGGGGUAACCUUACAGUUCGGAUCUCUUAGAACCCAGAAGCAGGUAGGCGAUCGCUGCUUCAUCACACUUCACAGGGAGUCCUGGAUCUUUCCUGUCCGUAACCCAUGGACGCCAUGAUUCAGUAUGGCGGAGGUCCGGGGCUUAAGUUCCUGUUCAUGCUUCCUAAUCAUUCAUGGAUCCAUCACAAUGUGCUCUGAAGGGCCUCUCUUGCUGGGAUUGAGAAGGAUACAUUUUUUGAGCAGGUUUUUAUACUCAAUGGACAUGUAGAAGGGAAUAUAUUCUACUCAGUUCCCCUCCUGCAGCUCCUUGAAAUUCUGUCCAUCAAAAGCAGGGAUCUGCUGACCAGAGGUGACUGCCACAGAAGGUAUCCAGUUUGUAAAAGCUGAAUUUGUUGCUGAAGCCAGAAUUUGCAAUCUUGAUGUUUGUGUUAACAUCCAAGAGCGUGUUUUCUGCCUUUAAAUCUCUGUGGACAAUACGUUUCUGGUGACAGCUUGCACAGCAGACACUUUUGGUAGAAUUUGCUUCAGUCCUUUUUUUUUCUUUCCUGCUGCCAUGAGCAGGUAUUCACAAACUUCUCCUCCUGGCUAGUGUGCUUCAUGACAAAGCAAAGAGAUUCCUCAAUAUCGAUCACAGCAAAUGUUUCACUAUGUUGGGGUGAUCCGAGCCUUCAUGGUUCCUACUUUGUGGAUGGUGUCUGGAGGAGAUCUGCUGAGUCUCAUCAAUGAACUUCACAGCUGCUGCUUUCCCAGUUAAGAGGUCCCAGGCCAACCUUACCUUAGCCAGGUUGCCCUUGACGAUGGUCUCAAGGAUCCUAGCUGCCAGUAAGGGUCCCUUCUCAGCAGAGAUGGCUGAGAGGCCCUGUGGCAUGUGAGACUUACUGCUGGGCUUGGAGUCAAGGUGUCCCAGGUCAGCUUAAUUUCGGGAAAAACUGGUAAGACGCUUGGUUCAAAUCACUUGAAAAGAAAAUCACUUGCAUAGUUCACCUGAAGAAUGGAUCUCUAUAAUGGAAUUAAAGCACAAUGCUGGACAAAAAGUAAGAAAAAGCAACAAACUGAAAGGAAAAAUUGAGUAAAAAGAAUAAAGAACUAGAACUGGCAACCUCAGCCAAGCCAGGGAAUUACAUACAUCUUGGAAUUCCAAAGCAAUGCUUCCUUAUGAGGGCAUAGGAAGAAAUAAAUCUAAUAACAAGGCUGGGAUUAAUUCACGUGGUUUUCUCACAUUUUGGUCUCAAGAACUUUUUACUCUAAAACUAAUUAUUGAGGACCCCAAAGAGCUUUUUAUGUGGGUUAUAGUUAUCAGUAUUUACUUUAUUGGAAAUUAAAACCUGUAGGAUGUUUCAGUGGUCUUUUCUAGUUUGAAGGGUUUAAUAAUUUUUGGCUUUUAAAGAGCCCAUAAUCAAUUAAAAUAUUUUAUUUUCCUUUAAAUUGUAAAUGAUUGGUGUCAUAAUGAUGCUACAACUUAACUGGCAUUACAAUACUAUACAAAUACGUUCUAUUGUAUAAGUCACAAUAAGGUACAUUAUUAACUCUAUAACAUUUAGGGGAAGAUAGCUGUUAUCAUAUUAUUUAAAGUUUUGCCUAGUUUCUUUGUAGUAGACUUAUCUUUUCCAGGAGCCAGAGAACCCGCUAUAUCAGUUUCAGUAUCUUUAAAUGUAGAGAUUGCAGCUGUGUGUUGAGAAAGCACGUUUCACUUAGCAUGGGAUGGGGACUUCGAGGUACUGGAUAUGUCACUGGCACCUCAGGGGAGGAAACCAAGAUGCCCCUAUAUGAUUUUAAACAUGGUUUAUUAAAGCGUGAUACAGAAAAGUGCACAAAUUGUCCACCUACAGCUUGGUGACUGUUCACAAAUUGAACUCAUCUAACUAGCCUCCAGAAUAAGAAACAGGCCUUUACACACCCCCACCAGCCUCCCAAUCCCCUUUUCAGUCACCUUCUCUGCAGUGAUAACCACUAUUCUAUAUUCUGACAGCAUAGUUUCACUUGUUUUUUAACUUCACAUAAAUGGGAUCAGACAGUAUUGAAUCCUUUGUGUCUGCUUCCUUCACUCAAUAUUUUCCUGAGAUUUUUCUAUAUUGUUUAUUCUAAAUGCCCAUUGUACGACUGUAACACAAUUUGUUUAUCCAUUUUACUGUUCUUGGGCAUUUGGGUAGUUCUCACUGUGGAUGCUAAGAAGAGUGUUGCUAUAAACAUUCAGGUCUUUUGGUAAGCAUAUACCUGGCUUUCUGUUGGCUAUUUAUACCUAGAAAUAGAGUUGCUGGCUUAUAAGGUAUGCAUAUUUUUAGUUUUAGUAGACAUUGCAGUUUGUACCAAUUCACCCACCCACCAAUGUGAAUAUCUAAUAUUGCCUGCCUGUCUGUACGUGUGUACUGGUAUAGCAUUGUGGUUUUAAUUUGCAUUUUCCAGUGCCUAAUGAAAU
rnacentral:lncRNA from 10 species